GGGCCUAUCGUCUAACGGAUUAGGACAGUGAUUUUCUAAAUCAUCAAUGUAGGUUCGAUUCCUACUGGGCCUA